GCCCCGUCCAUCGUCCCUUUGAUGCGGUGCAGUUGUCCUGUCCCCUUAGCAUUAAAACACCCCCAAAGCAUAUUUCCACCUCCAUGUUUGACGGUGGAGAUGGUGUAAUUGGGGUCAUAGGCAGCAUUCCUCCUCCUCCUCCAAACACGGCGAGUUGAGUUGAUGCCAAAGACCUCAAUUUUGGGCUCAUCUGACCACAACACUUUCACCCAGUUCUC